CCAGCGACCACCUGCAAGAUUCCACUGAAUUAUUCAUAUUUGUUGAGAAGAAACAGCUGCCUCGGAUCUGGAGCCCCGAAGAGAGAAGAGCUGGAGCUGAAACUAAUGGCUCCCCUCCGGCUGAGGACAUGCUUGGGAACCGGCCUGUCUAGAGGCAAAACCGGUAGCUGGUAACAUACUUCCAUUGAAUUGUCGGGGCUGGAUCCAGAUCAAAAAUAUAGAAAGAAAAAAAAAAAAGAAAUAUAUAGAGGAAAAAGAUAAAUGAUGCAAAAAAAUGCGGAAAAAAAUAGAUGAGUGGAGAAUUGAAACCCCCCCCCCUUUAAAGCAGAGAAAUCUUUCAAAAUUGUGGAAACGACCUGAUAUCGAGCUGCAAAGUAUUUCUGUUCAUUAUGAGCGACUCAAAACUUCCAGAUCGCCUUCAUGGAUGCUGCUGCUUCUCUUCUACCUCCUCCGUUUUGCCUCCUUUGGUGUCAUUCUGCGAGGGGGGAAAAAUCAUGCUGCUGCUGCUGCUUUUGCCCCUUUCCUUCUCAUUUUACUCAGAUCCGGGCCCACGGACGACGAGACCUUCUUGCCAUUUUCUGGGUCUUUAUGAAAUCGCUUCCUCAUUUUCAGAGCCGAAAAACGCGUCCGCACAUUUUGGGCUUCGUCGGCGUUCACGGAUCCGCAUAUGAGCAUAUCCCGGUGCGAAAACAAAAGGCACGACCACUUCCAAAAAAUGUCACCAACAUAUCAUUUCAAUGAAGUGAGGCAGCUCCAGGAUGUGGGACCGUGUCACUCGGUCGUGGCCGGGUGGUUUCUCUCUCAUUCACUCUCAAAACGGAGGCGAACAAAAAAAAAAUCAACAUGUAGGGCUUUUCCGUCCUUUUUCCCCCUUUUUUCUUUCUGUCUUUCCUACAGCUGCAUGAUGAAGGAGCAGUUUGAUUCACCGCUGACCGUAAAGCACAAAGUGUCUGUCUCUGAGAGGGAAACCCCGACGUUCAUCCCAUUCACUGCGACUCCGCGGGGCUCACAGGAAACCUCAUGGCACGUAGCGCACAGCGACCGACCAAAAAAAAAUAA